rnacentral:lncRNA from 1 species
CCCGUGAGAGCCCCGCGCUCCGGGCGCGGCCUGCCGAGCCCCGGAUUCAUGCGCCGCGCCAAGAGCGCGGAGCCCUAUCCGCCCAUGCGCGCGCGCGCUGCGCGGGGCGGGGCCGCACCGCGGGCGCGGGGCGCCCUUAAAGCCGCAGCGGCCCCGGCGGCCCCGGCUCAGCGCUGAGGGAGCGGACAAGGUUAAACCGGCCGGGCCGGGUCGGGCCGGGGGCCGGGACACGGCCGCGUAGGGGUUGCGGGGGCUCUCACAGCUCUCAGUGUGGGGCACGGUGCGGCGGAGCCGCAGACAUAGGUGGAACGCUCGGCUAGCGGAAGGUUUGGAUCUAUUCUGGAAGCUGCUUAAAACCCAGUGGUCAGAAACAUGUUACUUUUUUGGAAACUGAGCUGAAUGACAAUUCCCAGUCCUGCUGAAUCCUUUCCAUUUGCUUUCUUUAGAGCUGCUAUGCUUCCAGCAGUUCCUACUUCCUUCAUGCACAGUGCCUUGGUUGUUAUUUCCCUGAGCUGGGCAGCAGGAGUCACGAUGGGAGCAGGUCUGUGCUGAGUUGCUGCUGUGCAGAGAACCCCAGCCCAGCCCAGCCCAGCAGCCUGCAGCAGCAGUUUGCCCAGAAAUGGUUCCGGUGUGGUUCACCACACUGUCACAGGAGCUGUUGAAAUGAAACAGAGGGAACGCUGCAGGAAGAGAGGAGUGGUAACCUGGGCCAGCAUCACACACUGCAUCUCCACUCUGUGAAAGGAUCAGUUU